UCUCUUGAAUUUUACUUGAUGUGGAGAGAAUUCCUUACUGUUAAGGCCGGCCUAAUUGUCAACUAGAGGGUGUCCAUGCAGACCAUUACUAAUUAAGACCAAGGUUCUGGACUCUGAAAGUCUGGAGCAGUACAAAACUAAAACGAAUCUUAAUUACCGAAUUAUAGCUUGUUUAACAAACUACAUAGUGCAAUACAGCAACCACAGAAGAAACCUACUUACUUUGGAAAGAACCAUUGGUAGAGGCUAGGUGACCACUAGUAAUUCUCUGUCGUGGAUGCACAUAGUAGUAGCUGCUUCCUUUGCUGCGAGACCAAGUGAAGGGGUAUAUAUACAUGGCUUACCUGAGAGUGGCUAGCUGAGGCACAUCUCCCUCGUUGGAGAUUUUUAACGUACAAUCAGAUAUAAUCGCCACAUCGAGUGCAAGUGAUACUUCGUUUGCUUUCGCUCCGAGUUUUGUUCCUAUAGGUUUCGAAUGGAAAAGGUUUUGAUGAAUGAUGAGGGCUCCUUGAUCUGAUCAAAUGGAGUUGUCUAAUUAUACAAUUAUUGGUAAGUGGAAAACUACAGUAGCUAGCAAAUUACCGAUGUCUUUUGAAUAAUACCUAUAUAUCAUCUAGUACAAUCAGAUUUGUUGAUAAGCUUCAAUAAAACUNNNNNNNNNNNNNNNNNNNNGCAGGAAAACUGGAAUUCGACGGACUCGCCGGGGAGGGAAAGUGGUCGGGGAAGCUGCUGGAGUCCGCUGGGGUGGAGGCGCGCCCUCACCAGCGCCGUACGGUGGCGAACAGAAGGAAAUCCGCACCUUAAGGCUGUGCGGACGUCCGUAUCUGAAACGGACUGUAUAUAUAUAUAUAUAUAUUUAUAUACAGGGCCCUUCCAAUGAGGGAUCCUUAUUUUUUGUCACUUUUAGGGAUAGGCCCACACUAUUAGAGCUGUUUUUUAAUGAGCUUAGAUGGCUGAGAUUAAAACAAAAAACUUAACACUUAUGUCAAAUCUACACCGUUCAAGAUCAUUAAAAAUAAAUCAAACAUUUGGAUGACUUAACGAUCACCAAAUUUUCUGAAAAUUUGCAUAAGUGAUCUACUUAUAUAUACCUACAAACUGAACGGUAGAGAUGUGAUUUAGUGAUCGGGAAGUAUGUCAAAUACCCUAUCCCUAGAAAUGAACAAAAAAAAGAUCCCUCAUUGGAAGGGCCUAGUACAAUCAGAUUUGUUGAUAAGCUUCAAUAAAACUGAUCGACCUUUCUGUUAUUCCUAAUUGACAGGAUCUAUAUUGUGUUAGAAAUGUAUCCCUUAAUUUCCAGAUUUUUGUGGUUGUUGAGCUAAUCUGUAAUGAAGGUGUUAUUACUAUUAGAAGUAUUGGAGAGGAAUAGAUCCCACAUCAGAAAAGUGACAAAUAAAAUAUAACUUAUAUGUGGAUGGAUCUUAUCCAAUUGUACCGAGACCUUUUGUGAUUAAAACCUAACACCUUAAAGGUGGUUAAUUAAGUUGGGACAGUAUCGGUACAAUGUGAUCCACGGGCCACGCUUGUCGCUGUUUAACAUGGUAUCAGAGCGGGUCCCUCUCCAAUUACUUCUCCAAUUCUCAUGGGCCCGAUUUGGGUUCAUUCUCUCGUCCGGUCCGAGAUUCUAUUCUCUCGCCCGGUUCCGGCUUCUUCACCAAGUGUCCCUUGGUUCGUUCCGUCCCGAUUCAUUCCACGUGCGGGACCUUGAGUCAGGUUACACGUAAGGGGGCGUAUUAGAAGUAUUGGAGAGGAAUAGAUCCUACAUCAGAAAAGUGACAAAUAAAAUAUAAUUUAUAUGUGGAUGGAUCUUAUCCAAUUGUACCGAGGCCUUUUGUGAUUAAAACCCAACACCUUAAAAGUGGUUAAGUUGGGACAAUAUCGGUACAAUGUGAUCCACGGGCCACGCUUGUCGCUGUUUAACAAUUACAGCUUAAUUAGCUAGAAUUAGUUUUUGUUAAUGAUCAUAGGAUUCCAGCAUGGUUUGCUGAUAGUGAUCAACAGCUACAUGUCACGUGUUAUCAUACAUGUGCUCAUGGUCCUCUAUUUAUCUUGGACUUUUUCCUCUUCUAUUGUUGUAAAAGCUGAACAAUAUUUUUCAUCAAUAUAGAG
rnacentral:lncRNA from 1 species